rnacentral:rRNA from 1 species
AACGAACGCUGGCGGCAUGCCUAGCACAUGCAAGUCGAACGAGACCUUCGGGUCUAGUGGCGCACGGGUGCGUAACGCGUGGGAACCUGCCUUUAGGUUCGGAAUAACUCAGAGAAAUUUGAGCUAAUACCGGAUUAUGUCUUCGGACCAAAGAUUUAUCGCCUUUAGAUGGGCCCGCGUUGGAUUAGCUAGUUGGUGGGGUAAAGGCCUACCAAGGCGACGAUCCAUAGCUGGUCUGAGAGGAUGAUCAGCCACACUGGGACUGAGACACGGCCCAGACUCCUACGGGAGGCAGCAGUGGGGAAUAUUGGACAAUGGGCGAAAGCCUGAUCCAGCAAUGCCGCGUGAGUGAUGAAGGCCUUAGGGUUGUAAAGCUCUUUUACCCGAGAUGAUAAUGACAGUAUCGGGAGAAUAAGCUCCGGCUAACUCCGUG